GAUAAAAAUAAUUGUAGGCGAAUAAUUAUAGGCAAGUUCAAAUAAAACCUGUUCAGUUUAACAAAUGUAUUUAUUAUUUAUUAAAUAUUAUAUUCAAAAUUCCUUAAAUUCAUUGUUUCAUCACGAACGUAAUAUCAUUUCGUUUCCCAAACAACUAUUCUAUUUAUAUAUGAAUGACGACAAAUAAAAACAAAUCUUUUUAAACCUAGAAUCUCUUCUUCAUAGACAAAGGAAAUCAACUUACACGGAUAUACUUCUCGGAAUCGCCUCUCCAUUUGCUCACCAAUGAGCUGGCCGUUAUGUUAAAAAAGGGAGAAAAUGGGCCUUUAAAAAAGAUAAGGUACUUGAGGAGAUACACAAUGGCCUGCUUAAUAGCAGAUUUACAUUCCUCUAGGCCUACAAUGUUGUCCCAAUAUACAUUUAAUUUUGUCAGUAUGAUUUCCUGCGACAAUACAAAGAUGAAAUGGCGCAUAAUCUCCGUAUUAAUUUCCGUAAGUGUUAUGUAAUUCGUUAUUUAAAGCUUUACUGAAAUCCCUGCGUCAUUGAUAUACAGUGGAUUGUUUAUCGAUAGGUAUUUUAUUUUUAAAAAGCUUUACAAUACGUAUAUUAAUCGAAAAUAACUUACGCAUGAAAUGUCUUCAGCAAUCUUCCGCAAUUCCGGAUUGUCUAUAUAAAGCUUCCGAGCCCGUUUCGAUAUCUUUGAUUGCGUGGAUUGUUCCAUUGAGACGUUAAAUAGCUCUUCUGAUGAAGCUCCAUCGCUUUCAUUGGCGAAAAUUGGUGUCACUGUCAUUGCGAGAUUAAUAUCAUCCGUAGCGUCACCCGUCAUCUUCUGUUGUACAUUCCUCCCUUUCACAGACUCACUUCUCGUUUCUUUGCUAACAGAUUUGACACGUUUUACUACUUCUUCGAAGAUUGAAUGAUAUUGUAAUCGAUACGUUGAAUACGUUGAGAAAGUUGAAUAGUGUUACAUAAUAUAAAUUCUUACACUUUGUUCGCAUUUGUCAUUUCCCUCGUCUUUAUUUCCUUUUCAGUUAUUUUCUUGCACAAUAUAGGAUAUUUUUGGAAUUUCAUCUUGUAAUAAUUUUCAUAUUCUGUAAGAAUAAUUUCCAAAUCGACGUUGUCGCAGACUCGAUAUUUCCGAGGUAGACGAGCUUCCCGGAUUAAUACAUCGCUAAUGUCUACAUAUCUAAAAAAUAUAAUUUUUAAUUCAUUGAACAAAUUUUAUGCUAUGAGUACACACUAUACGAUAAUCAUCAAUUAACUGUUUUAUUUCUAGGUAAGACAGACAAAAAGAAUGUACUGUCUAUUUAUUAUUAUAUAAAUCCUCGGCGAUAAUAUUUUGCCUUCUGCUUUUUAAUUUCUAAUUUUUAAAGUUUGGAUUUAAAUAUAUUUUCAUUUAUAACUAGUUAAUCUACGUUAUCGAUUGAGUUAUUCUAUAACUACUGAGUUACCGAUGUCGAUUUUCAAAUUUUGGUUCCUUCCCCUCUUUCCGCACUAAUUUCUAU
rnacentral:misc_RNA from 1 species